AAUCAACGCUGGCGGCGUGCCUCAGACAUGCAAGUCGGAACGCGAAAGUUUCCUUCGGGAAGCGAGUAGAGUGGCGUCCGGGUGAGUAACACGUAGGUAAUCUACCUUUGGGUGGGGAAUAACAACCGGAAACCGGGUUGCUAAUACCGCAUAAUGCAGCGGCACCACAUGGUGACAGUUGUUAAAGCGGGGGAUCGCAAGACCUCGGCGCCUAAAGAGGAGCCUGCGGCGGGAUUAGCUAGNGGUAAGGUAACGGCUUACCAAGGCAACGAUCCGUAGCCGGCCUGAGAGGGCGGUCGG
rnacentral:rRNA from 1 species